UACGGGGGGGGCAAGCGUUGUUCGGAAUUACUGGGCGUAAAGGGCUCGUAGGCGGCCAACUAAGUCAGACGUGAAAUCCCUCGGCUUAACCGGGGAACUGCGUCUGAUACUGGAUGGCUUGAGUUUGGGAGAGGGAUGCGGAAUUCCAGGUGUAGCGGUGAAAUGCGUAGAUAUCUGGAGGAACACCGGUGGCGAAGGCGGCAUCCUGGACCGAUAUUGACGCUGAGGCGCGAAAGCCAGGGGAGCAAACGGG
rnacentral:rRNA from 1 species